rnacentral:rRNA from 1 species
GGGCAACAGCCCAGAUCGUCAGCUAAGGUCCCUAAAUGUAAGUUAAGUGGUAAAGGAUGUGGGAUUGCACAGACAACCAGGAUGUUGGCUUAGAAGCAGCCACUCAUUCAAAGAGUGCGUAAUAGCUCACUGGUCGAGUGAUCCUGCGCCGAAGAUUUCCGGGGCUAAAACUUACUACCGAAGCUACGGCAUCAGUAAUGAUGGGUAGGGGAGCUUCCCAUACGGGUUGAAGCAUGACCGUAAGGACAUGUGGACAGUAUGGGAGUGAGAAUGUUGGCAUGAGUAGCGAGAUGUGGGUGGGAAUCCCACAGGCCGUAAACCCAAGGUUUCCAGGGGAAGGUUCGUCCACCCUGGGUUAGUCGGGACCUAAGCUGAGGCCGAAAGGCGUAGGUGAUGGACAACAGGUUGAUAUUCCUGUACUACCGAUAACCGUUUGAGAGAAGGGAUGACACAGUAGGAUAAGCUAAGCACACUGUUGGUUAUGUGUGCCCAAGCAUUGAGGCAGUCAAAGUAGGCAAA